GCUUAAAGAGGGGUUAAUGUCCUAUCAGCUAGUUGGUGGGGUAAUGGCCUACCAAGGCAAAGACGGGUAGCCGGCUCGAGAGGGUGGUCGGCCACACUGGGACUGAGACACUGCCCAGACUCCUACGGGAGGCUGCAGUCGAGAAUCUUUCGCAAUGCCCGAAAGGGUGACGAAGCGACGCCGCGUGUGGGAAGAAGGCCUUCGGGUUGUAAACCACUGUCGGGAGUUAGGAAAUGCAAGAGCGUUAAUAGCGCACUUGCUUGACUAAGGCUCCAGAGGAAGCCACGGCUAACUCUGUGCCAGCAGCCGCGGUAAUACAGAGGCGGCAAGCGUUGUUCGGAAUUAUUGGGCGUAAAGAGCACGUAGGCGGCCUUGCAAGUCAGUUGUGAAAGCCUUCCGCUUAACGGAAGAACGGCAUCUGAUACUACAGGGCUUGAGUACGGGAGGG
rnacentral:rRNA from 1 species